AGCAGCCGCGGUAAUUCCAGCUCCAAUAGCGUAUAUUAAAGUUGUUGCAGUUAAAAAGCUCGUAGUUGAAUUUCGGGAUUAGUACGUUGGUCGUGCCUUCGGUACGUACUGGUGUUACUGAUUCCUACCUUCUGACGAACCAUCAUGUCAUUUAUUUGGUGUGGCGGGGAAUCAGGACUGUUACUUUGAAAAAUUGAGUGUUUAAAGCAGGCUCGCGCUUGAAUACAUUAGCAUGGAAUAAUGAAAUAGGACGUUGACCCUAUUUUGUUGGUUUCUAGGAUUGACGUAAUGAUUAAUAGGGAUAGUUGGGGCAUUAGUAUUCAAUUGUCAGAGGUGAAAUUCUUGGAUUUAUUGAAGACUAACUACUGCGAAAGCAUUUUGCCAAGGAUGUUUUCAUUAAUCAAGAACGAAAGUUAGGGGAUCGAAGACGAUCAGAUACCGUCGUAGUCUUAACCAUAAACUAUAGCCGAACUAGGGAUCGGAUGAUGUUAUUUUUAAUG
rnacentral:rRNA from 1 species